UACCAGACUCCUACGGGAGGCAGCAGUGAGGAAUAUUGGUCAAUGGGCGGGAGCCUGAACCAGCCAAGUCGCGUGAGGGAUGACGGCCCUAUGGGUUGUAAACCUCUUUUGCCGGGGAGCAAAGUGCCGCACGUGUGCGGUUUGGAGAGUACCCGGAGAAAAAGCAUCGGCUAACUCCGUGCCAGCAGCCGCGGUAAUACGGAGGAUGCGAGCGUUAUCCGGAUUUACUGGGUGUAAAGGGCGCGUAGGCGGAUGUGCAAGUCAUUCGUGAAAUACCGGGGCUCAACCCCGGGGCUGCGAUUGAAACUGCACACCUUGAGUAUCGGAGAGGAAAGCGGAAUUCCUAGUGUAGCGGUGAAAUGCGUAGAUAUUAGGAGGAACACCAGUGGCGAAGGCGGCUUUCCGGACGACAACUGACGCUGAGGCGCGAAAGUGUGGGGAGCAAACAGGAUUAGAUACCCCUGUA
rnacentral:rRNA from 1 species